UCACUUUUCUGAAAGUGGCAGCAAACGAGAGACAUGUCUGACCUCUUCUCCACCUCAUCUCACCCAAAUCCGAAUGCAGAAGAAUAAUUUCGGAAGUGACUCUGGCAAUUUCCCUACUGCUCUGUCAGCCCUGGAUGGGUCUGCAAAUUCAUCACCCAGAUCAGCAAAACCGGAGGCCAUCCAUGAAUACACGAACUGAUGAGUGUUUUAUUACCUUCAACACAGCGCUUCCCAACCUGCAUGUUAUUCUGCAGAUUACAGAGUCAUGGUAUUAUAGCAAUUUGGAGAAGAAGAAAAAAUGAUUUCCUACUCUACCAUUUUAACAUGAUCAUAACAGAUAGCCGAGUAGUGUUGAGGCUAUGACAUGCGGUGGAAGAGAAGAGGCUGUGGAACCAGAAGUUCUGAGUCUAAAUCUCAACUCCAUGGGACCAGCUAUAAGACCUUCUGCGAGAUUUCCAUCCUCUCCUAGCCUCUUCCCCACUCCCCUGGAAGCAGAAAAUGGGGGGCUAUUUCACUGAGUUGUUGUAAAAAUGAAAUAGAUGAAAGCUCUGAAAAUACAUGAGAUUUAAUUAGACACACAGUUAAUAAAUUUCUCA